CCGUCGUCGUCGUCGUCGUCCUCGUCUUCCUCUUCCCCACCACCAUCUCCCGCCUCCACUCGCCUCCUCUACGCGUCUCUAGAAUUCAAACCCUAGCCAACCAGGUCAUGGGCGGAGAGAGGCCGCCGCCGAUCAGCGGCGGCGGCGCCUUCGCGUUCAUCUCCAAGGGGUGGCGCGAGGUGCGGGACUCGGCGAGUGCCGACCUGAGGCAGAUGCGGGCGCGCGCCGACCGGGAGCUGGAGCACCUCCUCGCGUCGGCGUCGGCGCUCGCGGGCCCGCCGCUGCCGCCGGUCGCGGCGGGGGCGCCCAUCGCGGAGGUGGAGUUCGUGCGGAAGCGGAUCCAGCCCAAGAUCAUGGAGCUGCGGAGGCAGUACUCGUCGACGGUGCGCGACGCGGGGUGGGCCCCCAAGGCCGCCGGGGCCAGCCUCCGCGUCGACCUCUCGGGGAUUACGGCGAUCCGCAACGCCAUUGUGGCCGAGGGGGGCGGCGGCGGCGGCGGCGGCGGGAGGUGGGGGCUCGUGCGGUGGAAGGGCCACGCGGACGACGAGGGGAGGAAGGAGUGGGAGGUGGUGAGGAUGAUACGCAGCGGGCUGAAGGAGUUCGAGCGCCGGAGCUUGUCGAGUGAGGUGUUUGGUGGAUUUCGUGGCCGCGGCGAGUUCGUGGAGAAAUUCAAGUUGAGCUUGAAAUCUCUGAACAAAGAGUCACAAGAAUCCAAGGAGGUUCUCCCACUGGAUCUUACUGAAAUUCUGGCAUAUCUUGUGCGGCAAUCUGGACCAUUUCUGGACCAACUUGGUAUUAGAAGAGAUUUAUGUGACAAAAUUGUGGAGACAUUGUACAGUAAACACAAUGGCCGGCUCAUUUAUCAUUCUCUUUCAGCUGAUAGAUCUUUAAUUGGAAAUGAGAACAUGACUGAUGAGCUUGAUCUGAGAAUAGCAAGGGUGCUAGAAAGUACUGGGCAUCACACAGAGGAAAGUUUUUGGAAGGAUCAUGCAAAGUACAAGCUCUCGGACAACCGGCGGCAUGUUGCAAUUGUCACAACAGCAAGUCUUCCAUGGAUGACUGGGACAGCAAUCAAUCCAUUAUUCCGUGCUGCGUAUCUAGCAAGAAGUACAAAACAGAAGGUGACACUGGUGGUUCCUUGGCUCUGUAAGUCAGAUCAAGAGCUAGUUUACCCCAAUAAUAUCACCUUCAGUUCACCAGAAGAACAAGAAAAUUACAUAAGGAACUGGCUACAGGAAAGACUUGGCUUUGAAGCAAAUUUUAAGAUAUCAUUUUAUCCUGGCAAGUUUUCGAAGGAGCGACGUAGUAUUAUUCCUGCUGGAGAUACUUCACAAUUCAUUUCCUCGAGUGAAGCUGAUAUAGCAAUUUUGGAAGAACCAGAGCAUCUCAACUGGUAUCAUCAUGGAAAGCGUUGGACCGACAAGUUUAAACAUGUCAUUGGUGUAGUUCACACAAAUUACCUAGAGUAUAUCAAGAGAGAGAAGAAUGGAGCUCUUCAAGCUUUCCUUGUUAAGCAUAUCAACAACUGGGUGACUAGAGCAUACUGUCAUAAGGUUUUACGUCUUUCUGCAGCAACUCAAGAUCUACCUAGGUCUGUUGUCUGCAACGUUCAUGGUGUAAAUCCAAAGUUCCUCAAGGUUGGUGAAAAAAUAGCAGCUGAUAAGGAGCAUGGGCAGCAGAGCUUUACAAAGGGAGCAUAUUUCCUUGGGAAGAUGGUUUGGGCUAAAGGAUAUAGAGAACUUAUAGAUUUGUUAUCCAAACACAAAAGUGACUUGGAGGGCUUUAAUGUAGAUGUAUAUGGGAAUGGUGAGGACUCACAAGCAGUGCAGAUGGCUGCUAGGAAAUUGAAUUUGAGCCUCAAUUUUUUCAAAGGAAGGGACCAUGCAGAUUCUUCGCUUCAUGGGUAUAAGGUUUUCAUUAAUCCAAGUGUCAGUGAUGUUCUAUGCACAGCGACAGCUGAGGCUCUUGCAAUGGGGAAAUUUGUUAUCUGUGCAGAUCAUCCAUCAAACGAAUUUUUCAAGUCAUUCCCCAACUGCUUAACAUACAAAACUUCCGAAGAAUUUGUUGCCCGAGUGAAAGAGGCCAUGGCUAGUGAACCUUCACCUUUGACCCCUGAGCAAAGGUACAGUUUGUCAUGGGAGGCAGCAACUGAAAGAUUCAUGGAGUACUCAGAGCUUGACAAAGUUCUGAAUAACAAAAUUGGUUAUUCUGGACAAGAUGGGAAGAGAAGUAAAGUGAGAAAGAUACCUUUACUUCCUAGACUUUCAGAAGUUGUGGAUGGGGGACUGGCCUUUGCUCAUCACUGCUUAACUGGCAAUGAGAUCCUCAGAUUGGCGACAGGAGCAAUUCCCGGUACACGUGACUAUGAUAAACAGCAAUGCAUGGAUUUGAAUUUAUUGCCUCCCCAAGUUCAACACCCUGUAUAUGGCUGGUGAUGUCAAGACGCUUUUAUUAAACUAAUAUAUAUAUAGUUGAAGGAUGUUCUCAUUAGGCCGUACUAGUUUGUCCCAUUUGGUGUUGAUGCUCUCGACGUAGUCAGUUUGUCAACUCAUGAUGUUGAUAGCCACUUCUUUCUGAGAUUUUUCAGGGACUUUGAAGCAGGCAAGUCGUGCCAGGUUAUCGACAGAUUCUGCAAUUUUCUUUACUUGUGUAACCAAGUCUGAAAGAAGUGAUGCAGUAACUGCCACAUGCAUCACUUGCAGCAGAGCUUUAUCCUCUGAUAGCUCGCUCCUGAGUGUUUUGGCAGCUUUGAUGGCUGCAGACAUGGAGGUUGUAGAUGGUACGGUCAUUGUUCGAAGUGCUGCCGAGAGCUCUCUGAGUGCCUGAGCAGAGUGUGAGCUCAUCUCACUGCAUGCUGUUCGUACUUUGAAGGACAGCUCAGGAUUGGCUUCAGGAUACUGUCAUCAGGGAAAGGUUGUAAGUACCUGAGAUUUUGUGAGUGUGAUGACAUAGGAAGCCAUAGCCUCCAUGGAAGAAGCGCACUGGCGAGAAAGAGCUCCAAUCUUCUGGUAUUGGCUCCAUGGGUGUUUGAAACUGAAUUUUCCAUGACCAGGCUCCCAUCUGGCAAAGUUGCACUGCAGUUUUGGGAAUAAUGUCACAUUGCAUCAUUUUCACCACCUUGCUUGAAGAUGUCUGUAGGACUUCGCCUCUCGGCACGGGGUAUGUAUAUAUAUAACUGCAUAGUAUGCUUACCAGAGAGUCUUCAGUGGCCUUCGAAUUAAGUAUGCUCUUGUACGCUUGGAGAAAGGCUUUGCCCUCCAAACUCUCACUCGUAGCGCUUUCUCCAAAGCAUUCGGUUUCCAUUCCUGCAUUCAUGUAUAAAAGUUUAGGCCCCACUCUGGAAUUAAUCUGCCUGUAGCAUAUUACUUCUAUAGCUCUAUGUGAGUAACAAGUUUACUAUUAGUAAUUUAAUACAUGAUAUAGUUGUAAUUCUGCCUUCA